rnacentral:rRNA from 1 species
AUGCCUUCGUUGUUUGGUGGUCUGCCUCCUGCCUUUGGUGGUGUGGUUGAAGAAUUGUCAGAGUUAUGGUUCUCAUCUUGCGUGCAGUAUUUAGCUGAGUUUCUGUUGACACAUUACAUUACUUCAGUUAUGAUGGGCAAUCUUGAGUUCCUGAAAAUGGUGGCAUGUGUUCUUGCUUUCUUUAGCCAUCUCUAUUGCUUUGACAGGUUGCUGAAAUACGAGUGGAUAAAAGUUGCAUGUAGCGAAGAAGCAUUAUUCCAUUGUAACCCUCAGAUUUUAACUAUGUUUGCCUCUAGGUUGUUCGAAUGCCUGGGAGUGGUGGGUUGCCUUGUCUCCUCUGAUCCUGUUGUUGUUGCUGUCCGUUGCUUUGUCGUCUGCUGCACUGUUGGCUUGCUGGCUGCUCGUCUUGCUGUCAAGUUUGUACAACCUCCAGAGCUACUGCUCCACUGCUCUAUUGGUCAAGGUUUGUUCCCUCCCUUUCUCACAACCUGCUACGUUAUAUUUGUUUUCAAUGUUAUACUCUUAUGGUGCUUCUUGGUUACAUGA